GCCGGAUGAUGUCAGCCGGCGCUGGCACCGGUCCUGAAAACCGUGGGUGGCCGGAAGGCCAUGGGGAUCGACACCUCCAUCCGGCGCCA
rnacentral:tRNA from 1 species